rnacentral:rRNA from 1 species
GGGGGCAACCCUGGCGGCGAGCGGCGAACGGGUGAGUAAUACAUCGGAACGUACCCAGGAGUGGGGGAUAACACAUCGAAAGAUGUGCUAAUACCGCAUACGCCCUGAGGGGGAAAGCGGGGGACCGCAAGGCCUCGCGCUGUUGGAGCGGCCGAUGUCGGAUUAGCUAGUUGGUGGGGUAAGGGCCUACCAAGGCGACGAUCCGUAGCUGGUCUGAGAGGAUGAUCAGCCACACUGGGACUGAGACACGGCCCAGACUCCUACGGGAGGCAGCAGUGGGGAAUUUUGGACAGUGGGGGCAACCCUGAUCCAGCCAUUCCGCGUGAGUGAAGAAGGCCUUCGGGUUGUAAAGCUCUUUCGGCAGGAACGAAACGGCGGGCUCUAACAUAGCCUGUCAAUGACGGUACCUGAAGAAGAAGCACCGGCUAACUACGUGCCAGCAGCCGCGGUAAUACGUAGGGUGCGAGCGUUAAUCGGAAUUACUGGGCGUAAAGCGUGCGCAGGCGGUUUUGUAAGACAGCUGUGAAAUCCCCGGGCUUAACCUGGGAACUGCGGUUGUGACUGCAAGACUAGAGUGCGGCAGAGGGGGGUGGAAUUCCACGUGUAGCAGUGAAAUGCGUAGAGAUGUGGAGGAACACCGAUGGCGAAGGCAGCCCCCUGGGUUGACACUGACGCUCAUGCACGAAAGCGUGGGUAGCAAACAGGAUUAGAUACCCUGGUAGUCCACGCCCUAAACGAUGCCAACUAGGUGUUGGGGAAGGAGACUUCCUUAGUACCGUAGCUAACGCGUGAAGUUGGCCGCCUGGGGAGUACGGUCGCAAGAUUAAAACUCAAAGGAAUUGACGGGGACCCGCACAAGCGGUGGAUGAUGUGGAUUAAUUCGAUGC